UACGGAGGGAGCUAGCGUUAUUCGGAAUUACUGGGCGUAAAGCGCACGUAGGCGGCUUUGCAAGUCGGAUGUGAAAUCCCUCGGCUUAACCAAGGAAGUGCAUCCGAAACUGCAGAGCUUGAGUACUUAAGAGGAUCGCGGAAUUCCCGGUGUAGAGGUGAAAUUCGUAGAUAUCGGGAGGAACACCAGUGGCGAAGGCGGCGAUCUGGGAAGAUACUGACGCUGAGGUGCGAAAGCGUGGGGAGCAAACAGG
rnacentral:rRNA from 1 species